CCACAGGGAUAACUGGCU
rnacentral:snRNA from 1 species